AAUGGACUUGGCCCAGAGAGGGUGAAAGGCCCGUGGGAGUGAAGCUCAUGUCGGUUAAUCCCUCCACCGGUGGACCUUGGAGUCGGGUUGUUUGUGAAUGCAGCCCAAAGCGGGUGGUAAACUCCAUCCAAGGCUAAAUACCUGCACGAGUCCGAUAGCGAACAAGUACCGUGAGGGAAAGUUGAAAAGUACUUUGAAGAGAGAGUAAACAGUACGUGAAACCGCUCAGAGGUAAACGGGUGGCGUUGAACUGCAAGCUCUGGGAAUUCAACCAGUGAGCAUGAUUUGUGCUUGGACAUGACCGAUUGUUGAGUGGAGUUCGCCGCAUGGCGUGUCUAGCAGCUAAACACUGUUAGGUAGACGUGGUCCGCUUAACAAGCGCUGUCUGCUCUACUCAAAUAUGUGAAACGGAUCGGCUUGCUGGUGCACUUUCUCAGGGUCAACAUCACGACCGACGCUGCUGUCCGUCUGCUAUGGUCAAACCGUGUAGGCAGGAUCCUUGUGGUUUUGUCUGCGCGGGCUGGCAGGUAGCUUGGUAGCUGGUGCUAGCCCCGGCUAGUGCCGUUCUCAGCUGUGGAGUGUUACAAGCUGGCCAUAGUGGUUGUGUUUACGGUGCAGUGUGUCGGAGCUUACGGUACCUAGCCUGUGCAUAUGUGUCAUGGUCGUAUGGUUGUUGUGUUCCAAGUCUGGUCGCUUGUCUGCUUGCGAUAUACAAGCCUGGUGGUGUCUUGGUAACAUGCCCAUGCGCGACUGCAUGUGUGAGGCUAUGAUUUGGGCCAAUAGUCUGUGAUGUGGUGGUAGACUGCCUCCCGACCCGUCUUGAAACACGGACCAAGGAGUUUAACAUGUACGCGAGUCAUUGGGCGUUACGAAACCCAAAGGCGCAGUGAAAGUGAAGGCCAUGUUUCUGUUGGCUAAGGUGAGAUCCUGUUGUUUCUCGUGCGUGGUACUACCAAGCGUUUGAGCAAUAGGCGCAUCACCUGCCCGUCCCAUGGUGUGGACAUACUGCUCCGGCAGUGUGCGUUAUCGGGGCGGAGCUAGAGCGUACAUGUUGAGACCCGAAAGAUGGUGAACUAUGCUUGCGCAGGUUGAAGCCAGAGGAAACUCUGGUG
rnacentral:rRNA from 1 species